rnacentral:lncRNA from 1 species
AGCGCUGUAGGAGGAACGCGGUGGGAGGAAGGCUUGCGGGCGUGCGGACUCGGCUUCGGGCCGAGCGCUUUGAAGAAUUUUGCAGAACCCUGCUACCUACAGACUCUGCCAUGGAUGUCAUGUAAAGAAACCCCGGAUGUAGUAACGGACAAAACAUGAGUCAGUUUGUGUUGUGGCAUUCAGAUCUGAACACACUGGGAGAGAUUGUGGAGGACCCGAGGAACUUACGGAGUUUGUUUGUUUUCUGUCCACUGUGACUCCAGAAGUGAUUCUGAAUGGAGAAGACGUAGGACCGGUCAGUGGUAGGAUGGACUGUGCUUGGAAGAACGAAUUGCAUAGACUUUGAGAAUUGAGCCUGCCAGGAACAAGACAGUUGGCCUCUGAUGGAGAAGCUGGCCUCUGAUGGAGAAGCUGGCCUCUGAUGGAGAAGCUUCUUACUGCCUGUGACUGACUUUCUUCUUCUUUGACCCCUCCCCUGAACCCGAAACUCCUCACAUUGAUCUUUAUGACCUUGCAUGUAGAAAUACUAGCUACCAGUGAAAAAGCCCAAGAGACACUAAUUGGAUAUCUUGACUGUCCUUGGUCUGUAUGCCCUGCCCUUAUGAAUCUAGUAUCUGCCACUGGCCUUUCUUUUCUACCUUCUAAAUACCUUUAAAUUCCCUCUUUUAGGUCUAGCCUGUACCUUACUCUGUUGUCAGAUUUCCUGAGCCUCUGUAAAAGCCCCUCGCUUGGUUCUCUAUAUUUACUCUCCUUCCCUUCUCUCAUCUCGCUGCAUUCAGAGGAAUCUUCUUUUUGAUCCUCUGCUUUAAGUCCUUGAUGUUUUAUUGCCUCAGGCCGCUAAGCAACAGCAGCAGUGUCCCCUAUCCCACGUUUCCCCCUUGUGUCUCUGACGGUUUCAAUGAGAAACGACCCUCAUUGAAACCGUUUAGGACGUGCAGUCCUGCUGGGGGAAGUUUGUCACUGGGGGAAGCAUUUGAGAGCUUAAGGCUCCGUCCUACUUCAAGUUUGCUCUCAGCUUGGACUAGUGGUUGAGAUGAGAGAUGCUAGCUUCUUUUUUCCUGCCUCUGCUGCCAUGCCCUUCCAUAAUGGACUCUUAGCCCUUUGGAAAUGUAAGCCCAAAUAAACUCUUUCUUUUUUAA